rnacentral:rRNA from 1 species
AACGAACGCUGGCGGCAGGCUUAACACAUGCAAGUCGAGCGCCCCGCAAGGGGAGCGGCAGACGGGUGAGUAACGCGUGGGAAUCUACCCAUCUCUACGGAAUAACGCAUGGAAACGUGUGCUAAUACCGUAUACGUCCUUCGGGAGAAAGAUUUAUCGGAGAUGGAUGAGCCCGCGUUGGAUUAGCUAGUUGGUGGGGUAAAGGCCUACCAAGGCGACGAUCCAUAGCUGGUCUGAGAGGAUGAUCAGCCACACUGGGACUGAGACACGGCCCAGACUCCUACGGGAGGCAGCAGUGGGGAAUAUUGGACAAUGGGCGCAAGCCUGAUCCAGCCAUGCCGCGUGAGUGAUGAAGGCCCUAGGGUUGUAAGGCUCUUUCACCGGUGAAGAUAAUGACGGUAACCGGAGAAAAAGCCCCGGCUAACUUCGUGCCAGCCGCCGCGGUAACAC